GAUGAACGCUGGCGGCGUGCCUAAUACAUGCAAGUCGAGCGAACGGACGAGAAGCUUGCUUCUCUGAUGUUAGCGGCGGACGGGUGAGUAACACGUGGAUAACCUACCUAUAAGACUGGGAUAACUUCGGGAAACCGGAGCUAAUACCGGAUAAUAUUUUGAACCGCAUGGUUCAAAAGUGAAAGACGGUCUUGCAGUCACUUAUAGAUGGAUCUGCGCUGCAUUAGCUAGUUGGUAAGGUAACGGCUUACCAAGGCAACGAUGCAUAGCCGACCUGAGAGGGUGAUCGGCCACACUGGAACUGAGACACGGUCCAGACUCCUACGGGAGGCAGCAGUAGGGAAUCUUCCGCAAUGGGCGAAAGCCUGACGGAGCAACGCCGCGUGAGUGAUGAGGGUCUUCGGAUCGUAAAACUCUGUUAUUAGGGAAGAACAUAUGUGUAAGUAACUGUGCACGUCUUGACGGUACCUAAUCAGAAAGCCACGGCUAACUACGUG
rnacentral:rRNA from 1 species